GACGAACGCUGGCGGCGUGCUUAACACAUGCAAGUCGAACGGAAAGGCCCUGCUUUUGUGGGGUGCUCGAGUGGCGAACGGGUGAGUAACACGUGAGUAACCUGCCCUUGACUUUGGGAUAACUUCAGGAAACUGGGGCUAAUACCGGAUAGGAGCUCCUGCUGCAUGGUGGGGGUUGGAAAGUUUCGGCGGUUGGGGAUGGACUCGCGGCUUAUCAGCUUGUUGGUGGGGUAGUGGCUUACCAAGGCUUUGACGGGUAGCCGGCCUGAGAGGGUGACCGGAAACAGGGGGAAUGAGAGAAGGCCGGGAGGAAGAAGGGAGGAAGAAGGGGGGAAGAGGGAAGAAGGGGCGGAAGUUGGAGGCAGCAAGGGCGAGGGAGGGAGGAAGGAGUGAGGGAGUGAAAAAGGGAUCGCAGGGGAAGAAGAGGGAGGGAAGGGAAGGGGUAAAGAAGAAAAGGAAAAAGACGAG
rnacentral:rRNA from 1 species